GGCUUGGUGGUGUAGUUGGAAACACAUCCUUUUCAUGUUGUUGGACCGACUCUGUGUAUGAGGAAGUCCCCUGUUCAAAUUAAGGUCGGGCUG